UGUUGUUGUUAUUAAGCUGUUUCUUUGCAGACACACUAAGGUGACAUAUAUCAACACUUGGCAACUUAUUGACUAUUUAUUCAGUUGGAUAAAGAAGUUUUAUCUGGAUCUCUAAGAAGAGAAAAAAUGAUGGAAACGGCAAAAAUGUUAUCAGAUAAAAAAAGAUUAAAAUUAGAAGACAUCAAUGAGCAAUUUGAUGAUGCUUUGCUUUAAAACAAAAGCUUGAAGUUGCAAUAUGAAACUGAUAAGAAUAGUUGGGAAAUAGAAACUGCUGAAUUGCAAUCAAGAAUUAAUCAGAAACUGUUUAAAUUGUACUAAAAAUAUUUAACUAUGAUUUGUGAUAUCCUAAGACCAUUCCAAAAACUAUUACUGAUACAAUGUCAACGAGCAAUUGGAUGAUGCUUUGCUUUAUUACUGAUACAAUCAUCAAUGAGUAAUUUGAUGAUGCUUUGCUUUAAAACAAAAGCUUGAAGUUGCAAUAUGAAACUGAUAAGAAUAGUUGGGAAAUAGAAACUGCUGAAUUGCAAUCAAGAAUUAAUCAGCUCGAAGAACAAAAAUUAUUAGAAAGUGCAAGAGGAUCAUCAAGAACUUAUGCCAGAACACGUUUAGAAUUAGCUUGGGAGAAGAAACGAGCAGAACAGCAGCGUCUUUUGUCUGAAGCGCAACAUGUUAUGUCAGACCUGAAAUCUAAGUUAAUUAAUGUAGAAAAACAGACAGAUAAA